CGUUACUUCAAAACCGGAUAAAUAGGGCAUCAAACUUCUGAUGCGCUGUGAUGCUAAAAUAGCUUUUGCAUGUUAAUCGUAAAAAAACGAAAUUUCGAUUUUUCUCAAAAACUAUAAUUUUUUAAAUUUUGAUAAUUAUGUGCAAAGUGCCCCUUUGCAAGGAGUACUUGACAGUUUUUAAAUGAAAGCUCUAUCUUUAAUAACAAAAAAGUUAUGCAAAAUUUUCGAUCUAAAAAAGUACAUGUUAAUCGUAAAAAACCGAAAUUUCCAGUUUUCUCAAAAACUAUAAUUUUUUAAAUUUUGAUAAUUAUGUGCAAAGUGCCCCUUUGCCAGGAGUACUUGACAGUUUUUAAAUGAAAUCUCUAUCUUUAAUAACAAAAAAGUUAUGCAAAAUUUUCGAUCUAAAAAAAUACAUGUUAAUUGUAAAAAACAGAAAUUU